UACGAAGGGGGCGAGCGUUGUUCGGAUUUACUGGGCGUAAAGGGCGCGUAGGCGGCCCGUUUUGUCAGGCGUGAAAGCCCUGGGCUCAACCUGGGAAUGGCGCUUGGGACGGAUGGGCUAGAGAUCGGGAGAGGAGAGUGGAAUUCCCAGUGUAGAGGUGAAAUUCGUAGAUAUUCGCAAGAACACCAGUGGCGAAGGCGGCUCACUGGCCCGGUACUGACGCUGAGGCACGAAAGCGUGGGGAGCAAACAGG
rnacentral:rRNA from 1 species